rnacentral:rRNA from 1 species
CCUACGGGUGGCAGCAGUGGGGAAUAUUGGGCAAUGGGCGCAAGCCUGACCCAGCAACGCCGCGUGAAGGAAGAAGGCUUUCGGGUUGUACACUUCUUUUCUCAGGGACGAAGCAAGUGACGGUACCUGAGGAAUAAGCCACGGCUAACUACGUGCCAGCAGCCGCGGUAAUACGUAGGUGGCAAGCGUUAUCCGGAUUUACUGGGUGUAAAGGGCGUGUAGGCGGGAAAGCAAGUCAGAUGUGAAAACCAUGGGCUCAACCUGUGGCCUGCAUUUGAAACUGUUUUUCUUGAGUGGAGUAGAGGUAAGCGGAAUUCCUAGUGUAGCAGUGAAAUGCGUAAAUAUUAGGAGGAACACCAGUGGCGAAGGCGGCUUACUGGGCUUUAACUGACGCUGAGGCUCGAAAGCGUGGGUAGCAAACAGGAUUAGAUACCCGAGUAGUC